CAAGGAUUUGGGGACUUUAGGGAGUACAUAAUUUCAAGAGACAGAAAAGGAUGCUGCACCCCAUCUGGAUAUGAACUUCCUUGCAGUGCACAUCAACCACCCCUCCCCCAAAGGGAUGCUGAAAGCUUUGCCGUCAGCCCCUGUAAUCAUCUCCAUGACCAUCCUAGCCUAGUUGGCUGGGCUUCUGCAGGUGCCAGACUUUAUUCACCUGAGUCACAGACACUCCUGCAAUGAUAGCACUCGGAGUCCCUCUUUAGAGCCUAGAUACCCGAAGGUCACUUGGAGAGAUUUUUCAGGUUACCAGCUUGACAGUCUUUAUCUGAGAAGAGGCACUGGAGGCUUCUCAAGGAUAUAUCCAUUCAUGGGAUAUUUGUUGAGAGCUUACAAUGAAGCAGGAAAACCUGGAAAGAUGACUAGAAGAUGGUCGCUAAUGAGAGAUGCAGAAACUGAGACCACUUAAUUUUUUUGCUUGGAAGACAUCUAUACAAAUCGGCAGUCCCUAACAUUACCAUGUUGCAGAAAGUGAGGCCUGGAAGGGAACUCUGAGAUCAAUCUGUCCAACCCCUUUAUGGUACAGAUGGAGAAGCUGAGGACCAGGUGGUUGACGAAUGUUUAUAAAGUGGAUGCAUACAUGCAGCCAGCACCCAGAUCAAGUAAUAGGAUACUACCAGCACCUAAAGCCCUCUUCAUGAUCCCUGCUCAUCUCAGCCCUGCUUCCUUCCCAGUGGUAACCACUACCCUGACCUCUGCUGUCAUUGAUUCAUUUUGCCUUUUCUGGAGUUGUACAAGAGUGAUCGUACACAGUGUCUUUGCAAAUGGUAACAUUCGACUUGAGAGGCAACUCAGAUUUUAAAGAUGAUUUUAGCUGAAAAAAAAAAAAUGUUGAGGCACAUGGAGAUCAUGUGCUAUGCACUAUGCUACUGAGAAGUUAAGAAUGGAUUCUAGAAACCAAGAGGUAUAAACAAGAAGAGAAAGAACUGGACGUGACAUUAGGCACACCUGAAUCCUACCUCUACUACAUACUACCUCUAGGUGCCACAAUGUCCUCAUUUAUAAUACGUGAAGACAAAUUAACUAAUUAACUUAUUAACUCAGUAAGCAUUUAUUGAACAGUUACUAUGUGUCAGUAAUGUGAGCUAUUUAAAAUAUUAAAUCAGAAGAAAAUCAGCACAUUGUAGGAAGUCAAUAAAUACCAAUUUCCUUCCCAUAUAUAAGAAAGGUGGCACAGUGUACGUCGAAUUAUAAAUUUCCAGUUCCCUGUUGCUAACUUUAAACCGAAGCUAGCCCAUUAUUGGUCCAUUAACUUGGGCCUCCGUGGCAAAAAGCAGUAUCUUAUUACUUGGGAAUUGACUUGUGAGUUUAAUAAGUAAUAACAUUCACCACCCUGAAAAUCUCAGGAGAGAAAUGUUGCAGAGGGUAAUUGAGAUAUUC